rnacentral:rRNA from 1 species
GAGGAAAAGAAAUCAACCGAGAUUCCCCCAGUAGCGGCGAGCGAACGGGGAGCAGCCCAGAGUCUGAAUCAGCUUGUGUGUUAGUGGAAGCGUCUGGAAAGUCGCACGGUACAGGGUGAAAGUCCCGUACACGAAAACACACAGGCUGUGAACUCGAAGAGUAGGGCGGGACACGUGGUAUCCUGUCUGAAUAUGGGGGGACCAUCCUCCAAGGCUAAAUACUCCUGACUGACCGAUAGUGAACCAGUACCGUGAGGGAAAGGCGAAAAGAACCCCGGCGAGGGGAGUGAAAAAGAACCUGAAACCGUGUACGUACAAGCAGUGGGAGCACCUUCGUGGUGUGACUGCGUACCUUUUGUAUAAUGGGUCAGCGACUUAUAUUCUGUAGCAAGGUUAACCGUAUAGGGGAGCCGAAGGRAAACCGAGUCUUAACUGGGCGUUAAGUUGCAGGGUAUAGACCCGAAACCCGGUGAUCUAGCCAUGGGCAGGUUGAAGGUUGGGUAACACUAACUGGAGGACCGAACCGACUAAUGUUGAAAAAUUAGCGGAUGACCUGUGGCUGGGGGUGAAAGGCCAAUCAAACCGGGAGAUAGCUGGUUCUCCCCGAAAGCUAUUUAGGUAGCGCCUCGUGAACUCAUCUUCGGGGGUAGAGCACUGUUUCGGCUAGGGGGCCAUCCCGGCUUACCAACCCGAUGCAAACUACGAAUACCGAAGAAUGUUAUCACGGGAGACACACGGCGGGUGCUAACGUCCGUCGUGAAGAGGGAAACAACCCAGACCGCCAGCUAAGGUCCCAAAGUCAUGGUUAAGUGGGAAACGAUGUGGGAAGGCCCAGACAGCCAGGAUGUUGGCUUAGAAGCAGCCAUCAUUUAAAGAAAGCGUAAUAGCUCACUGGUCGAGUCGGCCUGCGCGGAAGAUGUAACGGGGCUAAACCAUGCACCGAAGCUGCGGCAGCGACGCUUAUGCGUUGUUGGGUAGGGGAGCGUUCUGUAAGCCGUUGAAGGUGGCCUGUGAGGGUUGCUGGAGGUAUCAGAAGUGCGAAUGCUGACAUAAGUAACGAUAAAGCGGGUGAAARGCCCGCUCGCCGGAAGACCAAGGGUUCCUGUCCAACGUUAAUCGGGGCAGGGUGAGUCGACCCCUAAGGCGAGGCCGAAAGGCGUAGUCGAUGGGAAACAGGUUAAUAUUCCUGUACUUGGUGUUACUGCGAAGGGGGGACGGAGAAGGCUAUGUUAGCCGGGCGACGGUUGUCCCGGUUUAAGCAUGUAGGCGGAGGUUCCAGGUAAAUCCGGUACCUUUUAACGCUGAGGUGUGAUGACGAGGCACUACGGUGCUGAAGUAACAAAUGCCCUGCUUCCAGGAAAAGCCUCUAAGCAUCAGGUAACAYSAAAUCGUACCCCAAACCGACACAGGUGGUCAGGUAGAGAAUACCAAGGCGCUUGAGAGAACUCGGGUGAAGGAACUAGGCAAAAUGGUGCCGUAACUUCGGGAGAAGGCACGCUGAUAUGUAGGUGAAGCCCCUGCGGGUGGAGCUGAAAUCAGUCGAAGAUACCAGCUGGCUGCAACUGUUUAUUAAAAACACAGCACUGUGCAAACACGAAAGUGGACGUAUACGGUGUGACGCCUGCCCGGUGCCGGAAGGUUAAUUGAUGGGGUUAGCGGYAACGCGAAGCUCUUGAUCGAAGCCCCGGUAAACGGCGGCCGUAACUAUAACGGUCCUAAGGUAGCGAAAUUCCUUGUCGGGUAAGUUCCGACCUGCACGAAUGGCGUAAUGAUGGCCAGGCUGUCUCCACCCGAGACUCAAGACCCCGUGAACCUUUACUAUAGCUUGACACUGAACACUGGUCCUUGAUGUGUAGGAUAGGUGGGAGGCUUUGAAGCGUGGACGCCAGUCUGCGUGGAGCCGUCCUUGAAAUACCACCCUUUAAUGGCUGGUGUUCUAACGUAGACCCGUWAYCCGGGUUGCGGACAGUGUCUGGUGGGUAGUUUGACUGGGGCGGUCUCCUCCCAAAGAGUAACGGAGGAGCACGAAGGUUAGCUAAUCCUGGUCGGACAUCAGGAGGUUAGUGCAAUGGCAUAAGCUAGCUUGACUGCGAGAGUGACGGCUCGAGCAGGUGCGAAAGCAGGUCAUAGUGAUCCGGUGGUUCUGAAUGGAAGGGCCAUCGCUCAACGGAUAAAAGGUACUCCGGGGAUAACAGGCUGAUACCGCCCAAGAGUUCAUAUCGACGGCGGUGUUUGGCACCUCGAUGUCGGCUCAUCACAUCCUGGGGCUGAAGUAGGUCCCAAGGGUAUGGCUGUUCGCCAUUUAAAGUGGUACGCGAGCUGGGUUUAGAACGUCGUGAGACAGUUCGGUCCCUAUCUGCCGUGGGCGCUGGAGAAUUGAGGGGGGCUGCUCCUAGUACGAGAGGACCGGAGUGGACGCAUCACUGGUGUUCGGGUUGUCAUGCCAAUGGCACUGCCCGGUAGCUAAAUGC